rnacentral:sRNA from 1 species
CAGUGGAAAAAAAACUUUGGCGUAUGGCUAAGUAUUUACUAAAGCAUCAUGAGAUUUUGAUCGCGAAUAUAUUACUGUUGGCAAUGAGGCUAUGAAUGGAGGCAGCAGACAAAGAGGUCUAAUUUGUCUGCGGUUUAGUCCAUCUCAUUUUUGGGUGGACAAUAAACUGAUGCGGACCAAAUUUAUUUGUAUAUAAAAACAGUCCGCAGAUGGUCCGAUGCGGUUACGUUUUCUUCUAUUUUUUUUGGUUCAGACCACUACGGAGUAUAAUUGAUGAAUGGUAAAUAAAAGUGGUCUGGUCCGUUGACGGUUUUGUCCGCCCCAACCGUCGCAAUCAUUCAAACCCUGAGUGAAUUAGGAAACAAAAUGCAAAUAGAUGAACAAAUUUAAUAAUAACU